GAUGAACGCUGGCGGCGUGCUUAACACAUGCAAGUCGAGCGAAGCACUUAUGAAAGAUUCUUCGGAUGAUUUCAUUUGUGACUGAGCGGCGGACGGGUGAGUAACGCGUGGGUAACCUGCCUCAUACAGGGGGAUAACAGUUGGAAACGACGGCUAAUACCGCAUAAGCGCACAGUACCGCAUGGUACCGUGUGAAAAACUCCGGUGGUAUGAGAUGGACCCGCGUCUGAUUAGCUAGUUGGUGGGGUAACGGCCUACAAAGGCGACGAUCAGUAGCCGACCUGAGAGGGUGAUCGGCCACAUUGGGACUGGGACACGGCCCAAACUCCUACGGGAGGCAGCAGUGGGGAAUAUUGCACAAUGGGGGAAACCCUGAUGCAGCAACGCCGCGUGAGUGAAGAAGUAUUUCGGUAUGUAAAGCUCUAUCAGCAGGGAAGAAAAUGACGGUACCUGACUAAGAAGCCCCGGCUAACUACGUGCCAGCCGCCGCCGUAA
rnacentral:rRNA from 1 species